AGCGAGCUUCCUAGAUGAUUUUAGUGCUUGCACUAAAUGAAACUAUAUACAAGCGAGCGGCGGACGGGUGAGUAACACGUGGGUAACCUGCCCAAGAGACUGGGAUAACACCUGGAAACAGAUGCUAAUACCGGAUAACAACACUAGACGCAUGUCUAGAGUUUGAAAGAUGGUUCUGCUAUCACUCUUGGAUGGACCUGCGGUGCAUUAGCUAGUUGGUAAGGUAACGGCUUACCAAGGCAAUGAUGCAUAGCCGAGUUGAGAGACUGAUCGGCCACAUUGGGACUGAGACACGGCCCAAACUCCUACGGGAGGCAGCAGUAGGGAAUCUUCCACAAUGGACGAAAGUCUGAUGGAGCAACGCCGCGUGAGUGAAGAAGGGUUUCGGCUCGUAAAGCUCUGUUGGUAGUGAAGAAAGAUAGAGGUAGUAACUGGCCUUUAUUUGACGGUAAUUACUUAGAAAGUCACGGCUAACUACGUGCCAGCAGCCGCGGUAAUACGUAGGUGGCAAGCGUUGUCCGGAUUUAUUGGGCGUAAAGCGAGUGCAGGCGGUUCAAUAAGUCUGAUGUGAAAGCCUUCGGCUCAACCGGAGAAUUGCAUCAGAAACUGUUGAACUUGAGUGCAGAAGAGGAGAGUGGAACUCCAUGUGUAGCGGUGGAAUGCGUAGAUAUAUGGAAGAACACCAGUGGCGAAGGCGGCUCUCU
rnacentral:rRNA from 1 species